ACGAACGCUGGCGGCGUGCUUAACCCAUGCAAGUCGAACGGAAAGGCCCCUUUGGGGGUCCUCGAGUGGCGAACGGGUGAGUAACACGUGAGUAACCUGCCCUUGACUUCGGGAUAACUUCAGGGAACUGGGGCUAAUACCGGAUAGGAAUCCUUGCUGCAUGGUGGGGGUUGGAAAGCUUCGGCGGUUUUGGAUGGACUCGCGGCUUCUCAGCUUGUUGGUGGGGUAGUGGCUUACCAAGGCUUUGACGGGUAGCGGGCCUGAUAGGGCGACCGGCCACAGUGGGGCCGAGAACGGGCGCAGACUCCAGCGGGAGGCAGCAGUGGAGAAGAUUGAACAACGAGAGCAAGCCCGAUGAAGCAACGCCGCGUAGAGGAUGAAAGCCUUCGGGUUGUAACCCGCUUUCAGCAGGAGCGAAGCUUGUGGUGACGGUACCUGCAGAAGAAGCACCGGCUAACUACGUG
rnacentral:rRNA from 1 species